AGAGUUGAUCCUGGCUCAGGACGACGCUGGCGGCGUGCUUAACACAUGCAAGUCGAACGGAGCACCCUUGAAGGAGUUUUCGGACAACGGAUGGGAAUGCUUAGUGGCGGACUGGUGAGUAACGCGUGAGGAACCUGCCUUCCAGAGGGGGACAACAGUUGGAAACGACUGCUAAUACCGCAUGACGCAUUGGUGUCGCAUGGCACUGAUGUCAAAGAUUUAUCGCUGGAAGAUAGCCUCGCGUCUGAUUAGCUAGUUGGUGAGGUAACGGCCCACCAAGGCGACGAUCAGUAGCCGGACUGAGAGGUUGGCCGGCCACAUUGGGACUGAGAUACGGCCCAGACUCCUACGGGAGGCAGCAGUGGGGAAUAUUGGGCAAUGGACGCAAGUCUGACCCAGCAACGCCGCGUGAAGGAAGAGGGCUUUCGGGUUGUAAACUUCUUUUAAGGGGGAAGAGCAGAAGACGGUACCCCUUGAAUAAGCCACGGCUAACUACGUG
rnacentral:rRNA from 1 species